GACGAACCGUCCUAACGUUGUUCGGAAUCACUGGGCUUAAAGGGCGCGUAGGCGGCUUGCCAAGUCAGGGGUGAAAUCCUGCAGCUUAACUGUAGAAGGGCCUUUGAUACUGGCGAGCUCGAGGGAGGUAGGGGUAUGUGGAACUUCCGGUGGAGCGGUGAAAUGCGUUGAUAUCGGAAGGAACGCCGGUGGCGAAAGCGACGUACUGGACCUCUUCUGACGCUGAGGAACGAAAGCUAGGGGAGCGAACGGG
rnacentral:rRNA from 1 species